UUGUGUGAGAAAAGGAGAGGAAGUCAGCAAGCCUCUUGAGAAGGACGGAAGAUGUCCUAGCAACCUGUACAACCUGCAUACACACAAGACAAUGCUGCUGUUUUGGUGAGAGCCAGUGUGGUGCAGUGGUCAGUAAUAU